GAGAGGCGGCCAUGGCGGCUCUGCGGGGGAAGAGGGGUCGGGAUCGCUGAAGAGCCGCCGUGAUGUGGGCACAGGAGGGAUCCAUCUCCAGGGCUUGAUGUGGAGUCCUGGCCGCUCUGUGAAAAGACUCAGCCAUGCUACAGGCUGAAUUCCUACCAGGAACCUCCAAGUGCUCACAAAAUCCACCAGAGACACUGGGCAAAGAAGGAACGGGACUCAGGUGGCUGGCUGGCUACAAAAUCUGGCACAAGCAUGUCCCUGUGAAGGGAGCACAUUCCAGCAUGUAAAGUUCCACAGAUUUCCACAAAUUCUCUCCGAUUAAGGCGGGCAAAGCCAAAAAACGCAAGGGUGGGAAAGGCAGAAGAUCCAGAAAGGGU